AACCAUAGAAACCUGCGGAGUACCUGCGGAAGGAUCAUUACAGAGUUCGUGCCCUCGCGGGUAGAUCUCCCACCCUUGUGUAUUUUCUACAUCUUGUUGCUUUGGCAGGCCGUUGGUUCGCCAACCACCGGCUCGCGGGCUGGUGCGUGCCUGCCAGAGGACCUCUCAAACUCGGUUUGUUAGUGUCGUCUGAGUACCAUAACAAUCGUUAAAACUUUCAGCAACGGAUCUCAGAUCGGA
rnacentral:misc_RNA from 1 species